CUGACCAACAAACUGCACAGGACGCGCUGCAGGAAGGCAGCCAUCCCACGCUGCCAGUCUGGGACAGAGAAACACAGACAGCGCCAACAACUGGCAUGCCAGAGUGUGCAAGAGAGCAGAGACAACUCCAGGACAAGCUCAUCCUGACAGUGUGCGGGAGAGAGGCCAGUCUGGAGGUGAAGGCAGAGCGGAGCUGGGAGAGGCAACAAAAGAUGAUGUAGUUGCCCAAGAAAACAAGAACUUGUACAGCGGAUCCAGCCCGUUCCCCUCCUCCUUUGAAGCAGAGUUUGAAUACCUGUGCAGCAAAAUCCGCACAGACCCUUCACUUUGGCCCACGUGUCCCAGCAGCUCUCCCA
ensembl:lncRNA